AACGAACGCUGGCGGCGUGGAUUAGGCAUGCAAGUCGAGCGACGGCAGGGGCUUCGGCCCCUGUACGGAGCGGCGAAAGGGUGAGUAAUGCGUAGGCAAUCUGCCCGAGAGCCCGGGAUAACUACUGGAAACGGUGGCUAAUACCGGAUAGCCCUGGUCGGGGGCAUCUUCGACCAGGUAAAGGAGGGGAUCUUCGGACCUUCCACCCUCGGAGGAGCCUACGUCCUAUCAGCUAGUUGGUGGGGUAACGGCCCACCAAGGCGAUGACGGGUAGCCGGGCUGAGAGGUUGGCCGGCCACACUGGGACUGAGACACUGCCCAGACUCCUACGGGAGGCUGCAGUCGAGAAUCUUCCGCAAUGGGCGAAAGCCUGACGGAGCGACGCCGCGUGGAGGACGAAGGCCUUCGGGUUGUAAACUCCUGUCACGUGACGAGAAACGCGAAGCGCUAAUACCGUUUCGCUUGACAACUCAUGAGAGGAAGUCACGGCUAACUCUGUGCCAGCAGCCGCGGUAAUACAGAGGUGGCAAGCGUUGUUCGGAAUCACUGGGCAUAAAGGGCGCGUAGGCGGUCGGUCAAGUCGGUUGUGAAAGCCCUCGGCUCAACCGAGGAACUGCAUCCGAUACUG
rnacentral:rRNA from 1 species